UACGUAGGGUGCAAGCGUUAAUCGGAAUUACUGGGCGUAAAGCGUGCGCAGGCGGUUUGGUAAGACAGAUGUGAAAUCCCUGGGCUCAACCUAGGAAUUGCAUUUGUGACUGCCCGGCUAGAGUGUGUCAGAGGGGGGUAGAAUUCCACGUGUAGCAGUGAAAUGCGUAGAUAUGUGGAGGAAUACCGAUGGCGAAGGCAGCCCCCUGGGAUAACACUGACGCUCAUGCACGAAAGCGUGGGGAGCAAACAGG
rnacentral:rRNA from 1 species